rnacentral:rRNA from 1 species
GACACGCUGGCGGCGUGCUUAACACAUGCAAGUCGAACGGAGUUACGUAUGAAGUAUUUCGGUACGGACUACAUAACUUAGUGGCGAACGGGUGAGUAACACGUGGGCAACCUGCCCUUAACCGGGGGAUAACAUUGUGAAAACAGUGCUAAUACCGCAUAACAGAGUAUCGGGCAUCCGAUAUUUUAAAAGGAGCAAUCCGGUUUAGGAUGGGCCCGCGUCCAAUUAGCUAGUUGGUGAGGUAACGGCUCACCAAGGCUACGAUUGGUAGCCGAACUGAGAGGUUGAUCGGCCACAUUGGGACUGAGACACGGCCCAGACUCCUACGGGAGGCAGCAGUGGGGAAUAUUGGGCAAUGGGCGAAAGCCUGACCCAGCGACGCCGCGUGAAGGAUGAAGGUCUUCGGAUUGUAAACUUCUUUGAUCAGGGAAGAAAGAAAUGACGGUACCUGAAGAACAAGCCACGGCUAACUACGUG